CGUCCAUGCUGAUUCGGUGAUACUAACCGCCCGAAGCAUCCUCGACCUUGUUCUUUGAGCAGGGCGUGUGGUGUGGAGCGCGGGACCUGAACCGAGGAGGCAAGCGCAUUAACA
rnacentral:rRNA from 1 species